rnacentral:rRNA from 1 species
CCUACGGGAGGCAGCAGUGGGGAAUAUUGCACAAUGGAGGAAACUCUGAUGCAGCGAUGCCGCGUGAGUGAAGAAGGCCUUUGGGUUGUAAAGCUCUUUCGUCGGGGAAGAAAAUGACUGUACCCGAAUAAGAAGGUCCGGCUAACUUCGUGCCAGCAGCCGCGGUAAU